rfam:Citrus clementina cultivar Clemenules unplaced genomic scaffold scaffold_3, whole genome shotgun sequence.
UUUGAGGGGAAUGUUGUCUGGCUCGAGGCCACUAACUAGAUCUUUGAUUUAAUCUCAGUUGAUCAUAUAUUUGUUUCAUUUUUCUUCCAUAAAAUUUAAUUAUAUUGAGAUACCCAUCAUUGAUCUUAAGAUAAUUAAGUUAGUGACGUCGGACCAGGCUUCAUUCCCCCCCAAU